GUCGAACGCUGAAGCCUGGUGCUUGCACCGGGUGGAUGAGUGGCGAACGGGUGAGUAACACGUGAGUAACCUGCCCCUGACUUCGGGAUAAGCCCGGGAAACUGGGUCUAAUACCGGAUACGACUGCCGGACGCAUGUCUGGUGGUGGAAAGUUUUUUCGGUUGGGGAUGGGCUCGCGGCCUAUCAGUUUGUUGGUGAGGUAAUGGCUCACCAAGACGACGACGGGUAGCCGGCCUGAGAGGGCGACCGGCCACACUGGGACUGAGACACGGCCCAGACUCCUACGGGAGGCAGCAGUGGGGAAUAUUGCACAAUGGGGGAAACCCUGAUGCAGCGACGCAGCGUGCGGGAUGACGGCCUUCGGGUUGUAAACCGCUUUCAGCAGGGAAGAAGCGCAAGUGACGGUACCUGCAGAAGAAGUACCGGCUAACUACGUGCCAGCAGCCGCGGUAAUACGUAGGGUACGAGCGUUGUCCGGAAUUAUUGGGCGUAAAGAGCUCGUAGGUGGUUGGUCACGUCUGCUGUGGAAACGCAACGCUUAACGUUGCGCGUGCAGUGGGUACGGGCUGACUAGAGUGCAGUAGGGGAGUCUGGAAUUCCUGGUGUAGCGGUGAAAUGCGCAGAUAUCAGGAGGAACACCGGUGGCGAAGGCGGGACUCUGGGCUGUAACUGACACUGAGGAGCGAAAGCAUGGGGAGCGAACAGGAUUAGAUACCCUGGUAGUCCAUGCCGUAAACGUUGGGCACUAGGUGUGGGGGGCAUUCCACGUUCUCCGCGCCGUAGCUAACGCAUUAAGUGCCCCGCCUGGGGAGUACGGUCGCAAGGCUAAAACUCAAAGGAAUUGACCGGGGGCCCGCACAAGCGGCGGAGCAUGCGGAUUAAUUCGAUGCAACGCGAAGAACCUUUACCAAGGCUUGACAUAC
rnacentral:rRNA from 1 species